GACGAACGCUGGCGGCGUGCUUAACACAUGCAAGUCGAACGGAAAGGCCCUGCUUUUGUGGGGUGCUCGAGUGGCGAACGGGUGAGUAACACGUGAGUAACCUGCCCUUUACUUUGGGAUAACUUCAGGAAACUGGGGCUAAUACCGGAUAGGAGCUCCUGCUGCAUGGUGGGGGUUGGAAAGUUUCGGCGGUUGGGGAUGGACUCGCGGCUUAUCAGCUUGUUUGUGGGGUAGUGGCUUACCAAGGCUUUGACGGGUAGCCGGCAUGAGAGGGUGACCGGCAACAAUGGGACUGAGAUACGGACCAGACUGCUACGGGAGGCAGCAGGGGGGAAUAUUGCACAAUGGGAGGAAGCCUGAUGAAGAAACGCAGCGUGCGGGAUGAAGGCCUUCGGGUUGUAAAACGCUUUCGCCUGUGACGAAGCGUGAGUGACGGUAAUGGGUAAAGAAGCACCGGCUAACUACGUG
rnacentral:rRNA from 1 species